rnacentral:rRNA from 1 species
UCCGUAGGUGAACCUGCGGAGGGAUCAUUAAGAUGCGCACAGCCUCUGCGCGCGGCGGCCCACCAGCUGCCGCACGCACGCCUUGCAUCCUCGAUAUUACAGCACCUUGCGUUCUCCUUCGGCGGGUCGACCCGCCGUCGGAACCAAAACACCCACCUGCGAGUGGUAAAGGAUGUGGGAGGAUGGUCCGGCCUCUGCAAUGUAGAACCCAACCCUGGCAGUUGGCGGCCGCAAGUCAUGCUGGACCUCUGGUCGUUGGGAUUUCCCCCUCGACCCCCCUUCCUUUGCUCGCAGCAAUACCCGUUCCGAAACAAACAAUCGUUACAACUUUCAACAAUGGAUCUCUUGGCUCUGGCAUCGAUGAAGAACGCAGCGAAAUGCGAUAAGUAGUGUGAAUUGCAGAAUUCAGUGAAUCAUCGAAUCUUUGAACGCACAUUGCGCCCCUCGGUAUUCCGUGGGGCAUGCCUGUUCGAGCGUCAUCUACACCCUCAAGCCCUGCUUGGUGUUGGGUGCCUGUCCCGCCCCGCGCGGCGACUCACCCCAAAUGCAUUGGCGGCGGCGCCUUGCCCCCUCCCGCGCAGCACAUUGCGCUUCUCGAGGCGGCGGGACCGCGUCCACGAAGCCGACAACCCGUCUUGACCUC